GCCUUUGUGAUGUAGUGGUCAGCAUGCUCGGCGUGUAUUUCAGAAGUCCAUGGUUCGAGUCCCGGCGAGGGCA
rfam:Stegodyphus mimosarum contig27985, whole genome shotgun sequence.